rnacentral:rRNA from 1 species
GACGAACGCUGGCGGCGUGCUUAACACAUGCAAGUCGAACGGAAAGGCCCUGCUUUUGUGGGGUGCUCGAUUGGCGAACGCGUGAGUAUCACGUGAGUAACCUGUCCUUGUCUUUGGGAUAACUUUAGGAAACUGCGGCUCAUACCGCAUAGGAGCUCUUGCUGCAUGGUGGGGGUUGGAAAGUUUCGGCGGUUGGGGAUGGACUCGCGGCUUAUCCGCCUGUUGGUGAGGUAGUGGCUUACAAAGGCUUCGACGGGUAGCCGGCCUGAGAGGGUGACCGGCCACAUUGGGACUGAGGUACGGCGCAGACGCCUACGGGAGGCAGCAGUGGGGAGUAUGGCAGAAUGGGCGGAAGCCUGAUGCAGAAACGCCGCGUGCGGGAUGACGGCCUUCGGGUUGUAAACCGCUGUCGCAGGAGACGAAGCGGGAGUGACGGUAAUGGGUAAGAAAGCACCGGCUAACUACGUG